CCUACGGGCGGCUGCAGUGGGGAAUAUUGGACAAUGGGGGCAACCCUGAUCCAGCCAUGCCGCGUGUGUGAAGAAGGCCCUCGGGUUGUAAAGCACUUUCAGUGAGGAAGAACGCCUGGUGGUUAAUACCCAUCAGGAAAGACAUCACUCACAGAAGAAGCACCGGCUAACUCCGUGCCAGCAGCCGCGGUAAUACGGAGGGUGCGAGCGUUAAUCGGAAUUACUGGACGUAAAGCGCGCGUAGGUGGCUUGAUAAGCCGGUUGUGAAAGCCCCGGGCUCAACCUGGGAACGGCAUCCGGAACUGUCAAGCUAGAGUGCAGGAGAGGAAGGUAGAAUUCCCGGUGUAGCGGUGAAAUGCGUAGAGAUCGGGAGGAAUACCAGUGGCGAAGGCGGCCUUCUGGACUGACACUGACACUGAGGUGCGAAAGCGUGGGUAGCAAACAGGAUUAGAUACCCGAGUAGUC
rnacentral:rRNA from 1 species